AGACAACAUCAAGACUGGAUAGAAAUAUUCAGACCAACCUGCCAACUCGGGCAAGGUGGUUAGCGAAAGCAGAUGGGGCUUCUCGAAGCAACCAAACGAGCCAUU
rnacentral:ncRNA from 18 species